rnacentral:misc_RNA from 1 species
AUGAGAACUUGCCCUUCGGGGUAGAUCUCCCACCCUCUGUUUACAUACUUUGUUGCUUUGGCAGGCCCGUCUUCGGACCGCCGGCUUCGGCUGGCCCGUGCUUGCCAGGGAACCUAAAACUCUGUUUGUUAAUGCAGUCUGAGUACUAUAUAAUAGUUA